rnacentral:rRNA from 1 species
GAUGAACGCUGGCGGCGUGCCUAGUACAUGCAAGUCGAGCGAACAGACGAGGAGCUUGCUCCUCUGACGUUAGCGGCGGACGGGUGAGUAACACGUGGAUAACCUACCUAUAAGACUGGGAUAACUUCGGGAAACCGGAGCUAAUACCGGAUAAUAUAUUGAACCGCAUGGUUCAAUAGUGAAAGACGGUUUUGCUGUCACUUAUAGAUGGAUCCGCGCCGCAUUAGCUAGUUGGUAAGGUAACGGCUUACCAAGGCAACGAUGCGUAGCCGACCUGAGAGGGUGAUCGGCCACACUGGAACUGAGACACGGUCCAGACUCCUACGGGAGGCAGCAGUAGGGAAUCUUCCGCAAUGGGCGAAAGCCUGACGGAGCAACGCCGCGUGAGUGAUGAAGGUCUUCGGAUCGUAAAACUCUGUUAUUAGGGAAGAACAAAUGUGUAAGUAACUACGCACGUCUUGACGGUACCUAAUCAGAAAGCCACGGCUAACUACGUG